rnacentral:misc_RNA from 1 species
GAUGAAGAACGUAGUGAAAUGCGAUAAGUAAUGUGAAUUGCAGAAUUCAGUGAAUCAUCGAAUCUUUGAGCGCACAUUGCGCCCCUUGGUAUUCCGAGGGGCAUGCCUGUUCGAGCGUCAUUAUAACCCUCAAGCUCAGCUUGGUGUUGGGGCCUGCUGCACUGGCAGCCCUUAAAAUCAGUGGCGGCGCCAUCUGGCUCUAAGCGUAGUAAUUCUUCUCGCUAUGGAGUCCUGGUGGAUGCUUGCCAUCAACCCCCAAUUUUUCUAUGGUUGACCUCGGAUCAGGUAGGGAUACCCGCUGAACUUAAGCAUAUCAAUAAGCGGAGGA